AAUGUUUGCCAUACCACUCUGAACCCGCCCGGUCUGAUCUCAGAAGCUAAACAGGGUUGGGCUUCGUUAAUACUUGGAUUAGUACCAGGCACUA
rnacentral:rRNA from 1 species